CCUACGGGAGGCAGCAGUGGGGAAUAUUGCACAAUGGGGGAAACCCUGAUGCAGCGACGCCGCGUGAGUGAAGAAGUAUUUCGGUACGUAAAGCUCUAUCAGCAGGGAAGAAAAUGACGGUACCUGACUAAGAAGCCCCGGCUAACUACGUGCCAGCAGCCGCGGUAAUACGUAGGGGGCAAGCGUUAUCCGGAUUUACUGGGUGUAAAGGGAGCGUAGACGGCAGCGCAAGUCUGGAGUGAAAUCCCAUGGCUUAACCAUGGAACUGCUUUGGAAACGGUGCAGCUAGAGUGCAGGAGAGGUAAGCGGAAUACCUAGUGUAGCGGUGAAAUGCGUAGAUAUUAGGAGGAACACCAGUGGCGAAGGCGGCUUACUGGACUGUAACUGACGUUGAGGCUCGAAAGCGUGGGGAGCAAACAGGAUUAGAUACCCGAGUAGUC
rnacentral:rRNA from 1 species